rnacentral:rRNA from 1 species
GUAGCCACCAAGCGUUGUUCGGAAUUACUGGGCGUAAAGAGUGUGUAGGUGGUGUCGUAAGUUUGGUGUGAAAUCUCCCGGCUCAACUGGGAGGGUGCGCCGAAAACUGGAGAGCUAGAGUGUGGGAGAGGAGAGUGGAAUUCCUGGUGUAGCGGUGAAAUGCGUAGAUAUCAGGAGGAACACCGGCGGUGUAGACGGCUCUCUGGACCAUUACUGACGCUGAGGCACGAAAGCGUGGGUAGCAACCAGGAUUAGAUACCCUGGUAGUCCACGCCCUAAACGAUGCCCACUUGGUGUGGGCCAUUCAUUUGGUCUGUGCCGGAGCUAACGCGUUAAGUGUGCCGCAUGGGGAGUACGGUCGCAAGGCUG